rfam:Firmicutes bacterium CAG:272_52_7 Ley3_66761_scaffold_14163, whole genome shotgun sequence.
CCCGUCGUGAGGCGGAGUCUGAAGGAAGCCUAAAGCAAAGCCUCGGUCUGACUAACAGAAACUGCAUAAAAGGCGUUUUGAAAUGGACGAGUUUGCACGACAGAACAAAGUCCGAUACUGCCCGAAAUUCAAGGCGUAAAUGCAGCAGAUAUAUGAGGUGAAGGUGAUUACGC